GACGAACGCUGGCGGCACGCCUAACACAUGCAAGUCGAACGGACUUACAAGAGCUUGCUUUUUUAAGUUAGUGGCGGACGGGUGAGUAACACGUGAGCAACCUGCCUCUGAGAGGGGGAUAGCUUCUGGAAACGGAUGGUAAUACCCCAUAAAAUAUAAAUAUCGCAUGAUAGAUAUAUCAAAGAAAUUCGCUCAGAGAUGGGCUCGCGUCUGAUUAGAUAGUUGGUGAGGUAACGGCUCACCAAGUCGACGAUCAGUAGCCGGACUGAGAGGUUGAACGGCCACAUUGGGACUGAGACACGGCCCAGACUCCUACGGGAGGCAGCAGUGGGGAAUAUUGCACAAUGGAGGGAACUCUGAUGCAGCGAUGCCGCGUGGAGGAAGAAGGUUUUCGGAUUGUAAACUCCUUUUAGCAGGGACGAUAAUGACGGUACCUGAAGAAAAAGCUCCGGCUAACUACGUG
rnacentral:rRNA from 1 species